UUUCCGUAGGUGAACCAGCGGAGGGAUCAUUACAGAGUUGCAAAACUCCCAAACCAUUGUGAGCGUUACCUAUCCCGUUGCUUCGGCGGGCGGCCCGGGCCCCGCGCCCGGCGCCCCCCGGCCCCCCGUGGGCGCCCGCCGGAGGUAAACCAAACCCUUGAAUUGCAUGGCCUCUCUGAGUCUUCUGUACUGAAUAAGUCAAAACUUUCAACAACGGAUCUCUUGGUUCUG
rnacentral:misc_RNA from 1 species